rnacentral:ncRNA from 2 species
UGACGGACUUCUGGAGAGACCUUUUUAGGCGCCGAAGGGGCAAGGCAAAUGUGCUCAAUCUCUCAGGCAAAAGGACAGAAAAAGCGAA